UUAACAAAUUUAGUAAUAAAUAGACAAGUAGAAUACACUGGACAAAAAUGUACUAAUUUUUGCAAUUUGUUGAAAUAUAAGGAUAGAGAACUCUGGUGCACUUGUCCCAAAUCUUUCAGCAGUGCGCGGAGUGUGAGAGGUUCACAAGCUGAAGCAUUUCCAUGUAGAUGUGAACAUAUAUAUCUGCAACUUUUUCACUGCAUUCAAUAGUAAUUGUGAAAACUACCAAGUAAGUGUGAGCUACGUCAG